GUAGUACGCCUGGAAUUUCAAAAUGGCGUUCAAACGGCGGUUGGUCGUUGAAGGCUCAGUUGCUCAGUACUGUCGCUGCAGCCAACGCGACAACAUGUACUGCUGAUUUCCGACAUCAGCAACAUUGCUCCAGUUUGGAUCUGGCAACCGAGGUCCCCGUGGCCCGGAACCCUCGGCCUCCACCAGCACUGUUAUGGACCAGCAGACGACAUACAGGAGCAGCUCGCCAGCAACAUUCCCACUCAAAAUGCAGACGUCAAACAACAGCUCUGACCCACGGAGAGUGGAUAAGAUUGUUAGGUUGUCCAUUUCUGCAGUUGUGAUGUCCUACCUUCAAAACCCACAGCCAAUGACACCUCCAUGGUCCAAUAUAUAAACAGUUCUAUAUUAUCGAUUGUUUUUGGUUGAAUGGAAAUGUAUAAUUGCCUCACCAUACUUGUAUUAAAAUUGUACUGCUGAAUGACAGUGACAAUUUUAGUUUUAAUAAACUAGCUAAUGGUGCCAGGUUUGUAUUAUGAUGUGCAAUAUGGAACAGUGCCAACAUUUGAUGAUGUGCAUGAGUUACAAAAUGACUUGGUUUGUUAAUCUUUUAAUUUGUGUAGCCUGCACUAUAUAAUUCUUGUUAUACUUCCCAUCCAAAAGUUUCUUGUAAGCAGCUUGUCUUUUUUUUCUUUAACAAAUGGACAAAUUUGUAUUGUCCCAUAACAUUAUCAUGUCAUUCAUGCCAGUGUAAAAGGCAAUAGCAUGAAGGUCAAAGCUUGAAAUAUCCUGGAAUAUGAAGUACCAUAUGAGUUGAUCCUCGAGUGACAACCACAUUAGUACAGUAGAUAGCCUCCAUAUUAGACAUAAAAGGAAGACUUGAUCACCACGUUAGAAAUAGAAGAGUGAAAGGGAAUUGGGAGUGGAAUGGUAGGCAGUCAGUAUGGGGGAAGGGAGACUUUUGGAGUACAGUACAGUACUGUCCAUUCAGUAGAGCCAGGCUGUCACCUGAUCGGAUGACAGGCAAAGUUAUCAGUCACUAGCACUGAUUUUAUAGUUUUCUUCGAGGUGACAUCAACUGCAUAAUAUCUUUUUGAUCAUGAAAUUACAUUAACUCCAACCAGUUACUGCUGGCUAAUAAUUCUUAGACAUAAAGGAAAGAGGACAAAUCAGAAGAGCAUGUUAAGAUAGGGCUACCUGAAUAGGUUUCAGUUGUGGUUACUCCAUCAGAGGGGCGUUCAUGGGGAUAAAGACAGAUUCUACAGUAAAUUGUUAAUUCCUCUUUUAGGACUGCCUCCUCUUCCAUUUUGCUUAGUUAUGCAAAGUUGUUGUUUUAUGGUUACAAAGGAAACAUAUCAUUCCUUAAUUUCUUAUUUUGACUGUAUCAGAAUUUAGAAUUUCAAAAAUAUAGUUACAGGUUGUAAGUACAGUAUGUAUAACAGUUUAUACAGUACUAUACUUAGUGUAUAAAACCAGCGUUGAAUGUAAUGAAACGCCAUUUUCUGGGUGAGUCCCGGAGGCUCCCCGGAGCCUCCGGGGCUCCCCCCAGAAAAUAUAUAUUAAUGCAGGCCAUAUGUAUUAUUGUUAAAUAUGUACUUUUGUAUUUCAUAGUAAACCUUUUACCAUAAUAUAUAAUUAUCUUCUCCUUUCAAUAGUGCAUUUGUCAUGUUGAAUUAUAUGGUAUAUCAGGAUUUUAUCGGUACUACCUUGUUGACUGCGUGUUCCUCCCGUUACUAUACUGUAUACAGUAUCUCUCCUUCCCAUUACAGUAUUACGCUGAGAUGUAUCAGUAAGGUGGUUGGGCUCACUGGCUCAAGCAAAGAAUAUUCACUAUACAAUACUAUAUUGAAUAUAAAUUCAGUGGAUUUUGUACUACAUGGGAACCUGGUCCAAGAUAGGGAUUUUAAUCUAGCCAGUGACCUGUACAAUGAAUUUGGCAUCUAGAUAAUGCAGAAUUCCUCCAAGACUGAUAAUUUUAAAUUAAUAUUACUAAAAAAUUCAAACAGUGCUUUUUCCAUGGGAUUUCUGCAUCAAAUUAUGCACAAAUGUAUGUCCUAUCAUGUGCACAAAUAAAGGGUGAAUGCUGUGGAUCUUGUUGUCCAUUAAAAUCUGUACAAUAAAGCUUUCAGUCACAUGCCAUCCCUAAGGUG